rnacentral:rRNA from 1 species
UACGUAGGGUGCGAGCGUUGUCCGGAUUUAUUGGGCGUAAAGAGCUUGUAGGCGGCUCGUCGCGUCGGGUGUGAAAACUUGCGGCUUAACCGCAAGCCUGCACCCGAUACGGGCGGGCUAGAGUUCGGCAGGGGAGACUGGAAUUCCUGGUGUAGCGGUGGAAUGCGCAGAUAUCAGGAGGAACACCGGUGGCGAAGGCGGGUCUCUGGGCCGAUACUGACGCUGAGAAGCGAAAGCCAGGGGAGCAAACGGG